GGCCGGUUAGCUCAGUCAGUUGAGCGUAGCCCUAAAAACGCUGAGGUCGCGGGUUCGAUUCCCAUUCUGUCCC
rnacentral:tRNA from 1 species